GUUUCUGGGUCUUGUAAUGGUCGGAGCUGCAGGCGGAGAAGUCCGGAGAAGCCCUCGGGGCGGCGCGGCCGGGCUUGAGCCACGACGAAUAACGGGCGAGGGGCGAAGAUGGAGCAAAAAGGAAUCCUGGCCUUUUCCAGUAAGCUGGGCUUUGUUGGGGCCAGCUCAGUAAUGACUCCUCAUGGCUAUCCCAUUACUCCAACAAUUCCCUGACUUCAUUAGCUACAUCUUCUCAGAACAAAAAAGUGAAAGGCCAGCAGCCUCAGACAAGCCAAAGUCCUUUCCUUCUGAAUGCGCAGUCUUGUGAACUCCACUGUCUUCAAAAACUCGGCGGUUGGUGGCAGCUCUCUGAAGACCUGGGAGAGGAGGUGGUACUGCUCUGACACUGUCCUUCGAAGAUCCGAAGGCUUACCACUGGAACCCCAAAAGCAGUAUGAGAGCUUCCCACAUGCCCAUAGCAGCACCCAGCAGGCUGCCAUGAUCAUGCGGCGCCUUUCCUGAUGGUUCUGGAUGUACCUGAGCACCCAGCAGCACACGUGCGGUGGCCAUGCCAGGCCCAGUCAAGCCUACCACGAGGUCGUCAUUCUCGCCCAACAGCCAUCUCAGCAGGAUGGGGAGUCCAGGGGCCAGCUGGUCCCACUGCUGGAGCAGGUCACACAACACAGCCACGGCC